UACAGAGGUGGCAAGCGUUGUUCGGAAUUACUGGGCGUAAAGGGCGAGUAGGUGGCCAUCUAAGUCAGACGUGAAAUCCCCCGGCUUAACCUGGGAACUGCGUCUGAUACUGGACGGCUUGAGUAUGGGAGAGGAACGUAGAAUUCCAGGUGUAGCGGUGAAAUGCGUAGAUAUCUGGAGGAAUACCGGUGGCGAAGGCGGCGCUCUGGACCAUUACUGACACUGAAUCGCGAAAGCUAGGGGAGCAAACGGG
rnacentral:rRNA from 1 species